rnacentral:rRNA from 1 species
GACGAACGCUGGCGGCGUGCUUAACACAUGCAAGUCGAACGAUGAACCCGGAGCUUGCUCCGGUGGAUUAGUGGCGAACGGGUGAGUAACACGUGAGUAACAUGCCCUUGACUCUGGGAUAACUGCGGGAAACUGUAGCUAAUACCGGAUACGACCCUCGGCGGCAUCGCCAGGGGGUGGAAAGAAUUUCGGUCAAGGAUGGACUCGCGGCCUAUCAGCGAGUUGGUGGGGUAACGGCCCACCAAGGCGACGACGGGUAGCCGGCCUGGGAGGGGGACCGGCAACACGGGGACGGAGACACGGCCCAGACUCCUAGGGGGGGAAGCAGUGGGGAAUAUGGCACAAUGGGCGCAAGCCUGAGGCACCACCGCCGCGUGGGGGAUGACGGCCUUCGGGUUGUAACCCUCUUUUAGUAGGGAAGAAGCGAAAGUGACGGUACCUGCAGAAAAAGCACCGGCUAACUACGUGCCAGCAGCCGCCGUAA